rnacentral:rRNA from 1 species
CCUACGGGAGGCAGCAGUGAGGAAUAUUGGUCAAUGGACGAGAGUCUGAACCAGCCAAGUAGCGUGAAGGAUGACUGCACUAUGGGUUGUAAACUUCUUUUAUAAAGGAAUAAAACGAAGCACGUGUGCCUCUUUGCAUGUACGUUAUGAAUAAGGAACGGCUAACUCCGUGCCAGCAGCCGCGGUAAUACGGAGGAUACGAGCGUUAUCCGGAUUUAUUGGGUUUAAAGGGAGCGUAGAUGGGUUGCUAAGGCAGUUGGGAAAGGUUGCGGCUCAACCGUAAAAUUGCAAUUGAUACUGGCAGUCUUGAGUGCAGUUGAGGUACGCGGAAUUCGUGGUGUAGCGGUGAAAUGCGUAGAUA